UUUGCCUACGGGGGGCAGCAGUGGGGAAUAUUGGACAAUGGGGGGAACCCUGAUGCAGCGACGCCGCGUGGGUGAAGAAGCGCCUCGGCGCGUAAAGCCCUGUCAGCAGGGAAGAAAAUGACGGUACCUGAAGAAGAAGCCCCGGCUAACUACGUGCCAGCAGCCGCGGUAAUACGUAGGGGGCAAGCGUUAUCCGGAUUUACUGGGUGUAAAGGGGGCGCAGACGGCGAUGCAAGCCAGGAGUGAAAGCCCGGAGCCCAACCCAGGGACUGCUCUUGGAACUGCGCG
rnacentral:rRNA from 1 species